rnacentral:sRNA from 1 species
GAGACAGACAUGACAGCCCUCCUCAAAUAUUUAAAGGGCUGUCUCAUAAAAGAGAAAUAAAACAUACUCAAUGAGCUCCAGGUGACAGAACUGAGCUCAGAGACCAGAAAUCACAAGGAGACAGAUCUCCGCUGAAUAUAAAGACGAGUUCUAUAAUAAUUGGAACCUUCCAGAGAAGGCAUGGACUUUGUGCUUUAAAAGAAUCGACAGAAUAAUUAGAGAAUAGACUUUACCCUGUCCUUGAAGGUGGGGGAUAAGGGGGCUGGGUAAAUAUGUAUUCCUGAAUCUCUGUUAUUUUGCUACUUGUUUUUUUGUCUAGGAAUUAGAAUUAAAAGAGCAAAAAGAGGACGUUUUAAAUAAUAAAUUAAGUGACGCACUGGCCAUGGUUGAAGAGACUCAGAAAACAAAGGCAACUGAAAGUCUAAAAGCAGAGAGCCUCGCCUUGAAAUUAAAUGAAACAUUAGCCGAACUGGAAACUACCAAGACAAAAAUGAUCAUGGUGGAAGAGCGGCUAAUCCUGCAGCAGAAGAUGGUAAAGGCCCUCCAGGAUGAGCAGGAAUCACAGAGACACGGGUUUGAAGAAGAGAUCUUGGAAUAUAAGGAGCAAAUCAAACAGCACGCCCAGACAAUUGUGAGCCUCGAAGAGAAACUCCAGAGAGUCACUCAGCACCAUAAAAAAAUAGAAGGCGAGAUUGCAACAUUGAAGGACAACGACCCAGCCCAAAAGGAGGAAAGGCCGCAAGACCCUCUGGUGGCUCCCAUGACAGAGAACAGUGCCAAAGACAUGGCGUACGAACAUCUGAUUGAGUCUACAAAGAAGUCUAUCCUCAAAGAACUGACAGUUUUCAGAGAAACAAACGUAUGAAUGGGAAAGAUCCAGAAAGCAGCACGUAAAGAAGGAGGCGCCGAUGGGACGCAGCGGAGGGAUUCAGAAGCUCCCCCAAGAGGAGAACCACCUGCCUGACCCUUGCACCAAAUCCUAGUGACCGAAGUCUAAUGUCACAGGGUUUUUACCCCAAAAAGACAAGGAUACUCAGCUUCCGCAUUGUGAAAAGUUCCUGACUCCUCCUCCUGUUUAAAAUCUAGAAACAGUGGUGCCCAUGACUUGGAAAAGACUCAGCACCACCCAGCUCUGCUCUGGUCCACUUCCUUGGCGUGUGAACAUGCUUGAAUUCUAAGGUUUUAUCCUCAAGUUGGAAGAUUUGUGGUUGCAGCCAAAAACACACUCACGUGGACACACACGCAUGCAUGCACACACAGAAUAUACUAUAUAUAUGUAGUUAUUUUCAUUCUGAUGAUCACCAGUCUUUUUGUUUGUUUGACAUGCAACCUGCCAGUGUUUUACUUUAAUUCAUAAUAAACACAGUACCUUCUAAA